rnacentral:rRNA from 1 species
AGCGAACGCUGGCGGCAGGCCUAACACAUGCAAGUCGAACGAACCUUUCGGGGUUAGUGGCGGACGGGUGAGUAACACGUGGGAACGUGCCUUUAGGUUCGGAAUAACUCAGGGAAACUUGUGCUAAUACCGAAUGUGCCCUUCGGGGGAAAGAUUUAUCGCCUUUAGAGCGGCCCGCGUCUGAUUAGCUAGUUGGUUGAGGUAAUGGCUCACCAAGGCGACGAUCAGUAGCUGGUCUGAGAGGAUGAUCAGCCACAUUGGGACUGAGACACGGCCCAAACUCCUACGGGACGCAGCAGUGGGGAAUCUUGCGCAAUGGGCGAAAGCCUGACGCAGCCAUGCCGCGUGAAUGAUGAAGGUCUUAGGAUUGUAAAAUUCUUUCACCGGAGACGAUAAUGACGGUACCCGGAGAAGAAGCCCCGGCUAACUUCGUG